GCAGUGGUGUCACAGUGCCCACUGACGCUACGUUGUCAUAGCGAUGACCUACAAUGCGGUAGCUCAUCGCUACGGCAACAUAGUGUCUCAUGUAGACCCGCCCACUGUGUACCAAUGAUAGGUCUCCAUUUCAGUCUCCUGUAGGAUUGCUAAUCUGCCUCAUUCAGAAGCUCAUUUAUCUCAAUUAAUAUGCACUGAACUGUCUUUGUUAACUUAUGCCUAAAAUCUACACUCUAAUUUACAUCUGACUUUCUUUUGUGAAGAGCAAACUCCUUGUUCUGAAGUGUAUGGUUGUUGUGCAUUACAUCCAGGUGUUAAACAGAGAUUAUGCUAUGGUUUUAAUCCAGUGGUUUCAUUGGCAUAAGCAAAGCCCUACACUGAGGGAGAACCUUGCUGCAGGGUCUGUGAUCUACUAAAGAGCAGACACCAUCCCAGAAGGAGAUAUUGGAAGUCAGUAUUUCUCCAUCCCAGGGUUGACAAAACAAAACUCAGGAAAUAAAUUUAUUACUGCAAGGAGCAUUACAUGAGCUAGAGCUGGAAUGCCCUCCACAUGGGGAUGCCCAGAAGGAAAGCAGGGCAGCCUCAGCUGUUGUGCCCAUUGGUACGUCUUGCAAAGUUAGACAUGCUGACAUCAAAUGGGGUUGAAGAGGCUGACCAAAGUAAUCAGUAUUAUACUGUGCUGAUAUUGUAACAUGCUGACCCCAACACGACAACAGCAGGCUACCCCAGACUCAUCUGGAGUUCACUAAAAUUCCACUUAAAUAGAGGGCUUCAAUCUGCUGCAUGUUCAAAUCUAAAUGCUAUGUAUGACUUACAGUGUAAAUCAGGGUGAAAUCUGACAUUUUAUUUUAUCUUUUUCUUCCUGAUGCCAUGAGUAAUUACACAGAAACCAGCUCCCCUCCCCACCACCAUCUUUACCAGUUAAUAUGGGCAUAUAGAGUGAUUUAUUUGAUUUUCUCUCCCCCCUCCCCUCUUCCUGGAUUCUGGGAAGAACGUGUUUGCUUAGCUUCACACGUUCGUACAGGAGGAACAGGGUGGUGAUGGAUAUUCAGAGUGAGUGGAGCACCCAUCAGGCCCUAGCCUAGGAAUAGUUCCAGUCAAAUUUAUGCUGUAUCAACUCUUGUGAAAGCCCCAGUGCUAAAAUAAGGUAUCCUCAGACCUUACAGAUAGAGGCAACUGGAAAAUUAUGGAUAUUUUCUGUGGAAAUGUUUUACUGUUUGUUAAAAACUAAAAACCUAAGGCCUUAAAUGUAGUAAAAAUGUAUCUUUUUAGUUUUUGUGGAAGUUGUGUCUGAAAAUUUUGAUUUUUCUGACAAAAUUCACCUUCUGAAGAAAUCAGACAUUUCCUAAACAUUUUUUUUAGUCAGAAAGCCAAUUUUAUGCUCAGGCAAAAUGUUUUAAAGGAAUGGUCAGUCCUACUUACAAGCUAACAUGCGAGAGUGAUGAAAGAAACAUACUAAACAUAAGAAAAUUAUUUACACUUUUCUGAAGCGAAGGAUUAGAAAAAUAGAAAUUUCAGAAAAAGAAAUGUCUUCAAUUACUCUUAUUAAUGCCCUGCUUUAUUACAUGUUAUCCUGCUCAAGUAUUCAUAAACAAUAAACUUUUAGGUUUAUGAGUUAAAUUUCUGGUGCCAUUUAGUUAAACUGAGUCAUUAAAUAUGGGCGUGAUUCUUAUUACAAAGAGGUCCCUUUAAAACAUACUGACAGUAUAAAGGGGUUGUAAACUGAGUAUAAACAUAAUUUAUGCCCAACUGAAGGGAAAUUAAAAUUGAACCCUAAAUAGUGAAAAACAUAAAAAAUAUUUUACUAAAUGCAAAAUGCUAUCUAUCAUCAAGGUGAUGUUCUACCCAUUUCAGUAAAGCAAACAGGCAAGCAGACACAUUUUUGAGUCACAAAAUCUCAAGAAAUGAUUGCAACUAUGACCUCACCUUUUUGGUAACCACAAAAUCCCUUUCAUGAAUUCCUCUUCAUAUGGUACACAUCUAUAUUUUUAUAUAUAUAUAAAUCACAUAUAUGCAAAAAAGUUUAAAAAUGUCUUGGUUUGGUUUUGAACUGUCAUAUUGUCUUUCAACUUAAACCUUCUAGGUCAAGUUUCAGAAUUAAAACAAGUAUUUGUGAUAGAAAUGCUGACAUAACCUUGCUUAGAGCAGCGCUAACAGCGAUUGUUACAAAGUCUAUUUACUCUGGUACAGUAUUAAGUAAGAUAUGUGAACUCACCAUAGCAACCCCUGCAUCACAUAGCAGAUAUGCUGCUUCUAAGAUACGGUGAAUCUUUCUGAAGAAAUACACAUGAAUGCUAGAUAAACAUCUAUCAAUUUCAAAUUGUGUUUUAAAAAUAUUUUGCUACACAGAUUAACAAAACACAAUGCAAGUUGUUUUUAUUUAACUUAUCAAUUUGUUCCAGACCUUUGACUGAUGGUGCCUCAUCUUCAUUGCCUGCAACAUGUAAACGUGGAUACCUCCUUAACAUCCUUUGGGGCAAAAGUUAUUGCAAAAAAUUAUUUAGCUUCUUUGUAAUGCUUUUGUCCCCUUUAUUUUUUUUCUAGUCUUCAUGGGAGCCCAAGUGAUCCUCCUAAAGGCCUCUUUACUUCUGAAACACUUUAACUCUGAUUCUACCAAGAUUUUGACAAACCAGCCAUUUUAUGGACUUUCAUAAGGAAAAGUUAUUUCAAAGGAACUACUCAUGUGAGUAAAGUUAAGCAUAAGAGUAAGUUUUUGCAGAGGACUGUGCUUUUAAUUCUGUGGCUAUUUGCUUUUUAUUUUCCCCACUUACCUCUUCUAAUUUUUAUCUUGCAUUGUACCUGUCAUACUGUAGGCUCCUUUUAAUUGUCUUGACUUAGUCUGGUAUUCUGUUUUUCACCCCAAAAAUA